AAUUGGAGGGCAAGUCUGGUGCCAGCAGCCGCGGUAAUUCCAGCUCCAAUAGCGUAUAUUAAAGUUGUUGCAGUUAAAAAGCUCGUAGUUGAAUUUCGGGGUUAGUAGGUUGGUCAUGCCUCUGGUAUGUACUGGUCUCACUGAUUCCUCCUUCCUUAUGAACCGUAAUGCCAUUAAUUUGGUGUUGCGGGGAAUUUGGACUGUUACUUUGAAAAAAUUAGAGUGUUUAAAGCAGGCUCACGCUUGAAUACAUUAGCAUGGAAUAAUGAAAUAGGACGUUCGAUCUUAUUUUGUUGGUUUCUAGGAUUGACGUAAUGAUUAAUAGGGAUAGUUGGGGGCAUUAGUAUUCAAUUGUCAGAGGUGAAAUUCUUGGAUUUAUUGAAGACUAACUACUGCGAAAGCAUUUGCCAAGGAUGUUUUCAUUAAUCAAGAACGAAAGUUAGGGGAUCGAAGACGAUCAGAUACCGUCGUAGUCUUAACCAUAAACUAUGCCGACUAGGGAUCGGAUGAUGUUAAUUUUUUAAUGACUCAUUCGGCGCCUUACGGGAAACCAAAGUGU
rnacentral:rRNA from 1 species